rfam:Ictidomys tridecemlineatus contig031526, whole genome shotgun sequence.
GGGGGUGUAGCUCAGUGGUAGAGCACUUGUCUAGCAUGCAUGAGGCUCUGGGUUCCAUUCCUAUCACUUCUA